AUUGAACGCUGGCGGCAGGCCUAACCCAUGCAAGUCGCACGAGUGGCGGACGGGUGAGUUAUGCCUGGGAAACUGCCUGAUGGAGGGGGAUAACUACUGGACAAGGUAACUAAUACCGCAUACACUCCGAUGGGCCCAGAUGGGAUUAGGUAGUUGGUGGGGUAACGGAUCACCAAGGCGACGAAACGUAGCUGGUCUGAGAGGAUGACCAGCCACACUGGAACUGAGACACGGUCCAGACUCCUCCGGGAGGCAGCAGUGGGGAAUAUUGGACAAUGGGCGAAAGCCUGAUGCAGCCAUGCCGCGUGUAUGAAGAAGGCCUUCGGGUUGUAAAGUACUUUCAGCGGGGAGGCGUUACCCGCAGAAGAAGCACCGGCUAACUCCGUGCCAGCAGCCGCGGUAAUUC
rnacentral:rRNA from 1 species